GACUAUUGCCUCCUCUUGAAAGGAGGUGAGUUCAUUGAAGGAAUUUCUAACUUUAGUUGUAGCUCCCAUUCUUGUGGAAAUAGUGAAAUCACUAUUCGAUCACUGGUUGGAUGAUCGGCAUCACAACAAAAAGCAUUAAUAGUCGCCUUACUCCACCCUCAACGCUUAGAAGGUUGCACUAAGCGAUAAA
rfam:Lactobacillus johnsonii NCC 533, complete genome.